rnacentral:lncRNA from 1 species
CAAUUGCCUUCCUAUAAAUUAUAGUUGUGAGACGUUGAGAAUAUAUAGCUGUAUUUUGAGAGCAUGACAUGAAAAUCAGAGUAUGCAAUCCUUACCAUUUUCUCUACAGAGAAUCUGGUUGGGUGGGUCAGUCUGGAGCCAAAUAACUAUUACAAUGUUUAGUGUGAGACAGUUUGGUCUUUUUUUUUUUCCUGGCUAGACUUACAAAUUUUCUGUUAGAUUUUGGGCAGAGUUGCAGAACCAGAGAAAUGGAGCAUAGUCCAAACGAGGUAGGACAUUUAUGAAAUAAUGAUGAAACCUUGUUAGUAUUAAUUAAGCCUUUGUUUACACUUCAUUUUAGCUCUGUUUUUAAAAUGUCACAUGAGUUAGUCUCUUAAGUGAUCACAGUUAAGUUCUCCGAGAGUAAUUCUAAUGGAAUUAAAAUGAAAGGCCUUUUAUGAGACUUUGAUCCCCAUCCUGUGUUGAUUUUUCUGACAAACACAAAAACAAAUAGGGAAGAAAACCAUGGACCCUUCAAGAGUUUUGCACUUGCACACUUUGGGUUGUGGGUCUGAAACCUUCAGGA